rnacentral:rRNA from 1 species
CGGAGGUGGCAAGCGUUACUCGGAAUUAUUGGGUGUAAAGGGCAAGUAGGCGGUCUAAUAAGUGGGUGGUGAAAUACUCUGGCUCAGUCAGAGAACUGCCUUCCAAGCUGUUAGACUUGAGUGUGACAGGGGGAAAUGGAAUUCUAGGUGUAAGGGUGAAAUCUGUAGAUAUCUAGAAGAACACCAGCGGCGAAGGCGAUUUCCUGGGUCACAACUGACGCUAAAUUGCGAAAGCUAGGGGAGCAAACAGAAUUAGAUACUCUGGUAGUCCUAGCCGUAAACGAUGAGCACUAGAUGUCAGCUCCUUUAGGAGUUGGUGUCGCAGCUAACGCAUUAAGUGCUCCACCUGGGGACUACGGUCGCAAGGCUA